UUAUAUUUUAUAUUGUGCGUUUGUCGUUAAGAGUCUUUUAUUCUGCGGUUUAAUCUAGUGGUUGGACAUUUCUGUCAUAACCGAAUAAUUUGCAGUUAAACGUAACAUUACCUAAACAUUUGUAUGUUUCUCUGCCUCUAUAACAGUUAACUUAAAAUUGCAACGCAACAGUUGGGGAAUGUAGUGAGGGAAGCAAUAUUUUUUGCUUUAACUGAUGUUUUAACCAAUAUUUUAAAGUGCAUCUUGUUUUUAUUUCAAGUUCGCGGUCUGGAUUAAGUCUUUUGGAUCGUCAGAGGUGCGUUUGAUUGUGGCAACUAACAAUUACCUUCACAACGAGGAAAAACCAAGGUCACUGCAACUUCUGCAGAUGUACAGGGAAGCCUCACUGUACCCAGCACCCCAAGGCUGAUUGCAUUUGAAGAUUCUGUUCUCCAUGCCAGAAGAUGGAUGCUUACAAUGGAGGGCAGAGUCAUCAUUGAGUCACAAGACCUAACUGAUUUUCAGUCCGCAUUAGCUGUCUUGUUUGGCUGCUACUACGCUUUCAAUGUUUAGUACCAAGAAGAGGCAGCUGCAACUCUGGAGUUCCUGCAGAGGUUUGUACAUCAUAAAUUUACUUACUCAUUUUACUGACGCUUUUAUCCAAAGCGACUUACAAUUGCAAUUGCUAUAUAUGUCAGAGGUUGCACGCCUCUGGAGCAACUAGGGGUUAAGUGUCUUGCUCAGGGACACAAUGGUGUGUCACAGUGGAUUCGAACCCGUGUCUCUCACACCAGAUGCGUGUGUCUU